rnacentral:rRNA from 1 species
GAGUAAUGUCUGGGAAACUGCCUGAUGGAGGGGGAGUAACUACUGGAAACGGUAGCUAAUACCGCAUAACGUCGCAAGACCAAAGAGGGGGACCUUCGGGCCCCUUGCCAUCGGAUGUGCCCAGAUGGGAUUAGCUAGUAGGUGGGGUAACGGCUCACCUAGGCGACGAUCCCCAGCUGGUCUGAGAGGAUGACCAGCCACACUGGAACUGAGACACGGUCCAGACUCCUACGGGAGGCAGCAUG